rnacentral:rRNA from 1 species
AUUCCAGCUUCAGUAGCGUAUAUUAAAGUUGUUGCAGUUAAAUAGCUCGUAGUCGCAUUUCUGGCGAGAGGAAUUGGUCCGACAUUUAUUGUGGGUACUCGAUUCUCUCUCGCCAUCCUUGAGUGGUCCGUUCUGGCAUUUAGUUGUCGGAGCGUCAGCCGCUCAUCGUUUACUGUGAGAAAAUUAGAGUGUUCAAAGCAGGCUUAUGCCGUUGAAUAUAUUAGCAUGGAAUAAUAAGAUAGGACCUCGGUGCUAUUUUGUUGGUUUGCGCACAGAGGUAAUGAUGAACAGGGACAGUUGGGGGUAUUUGUAUUUCGUUGUCAGAGGUGAAAUUCUUAGAUUUACGAAAGACAAACUACUGCGAAAGCAUUUACCAAGGAUGUUUUCAUCA